CGUGAGGCAAAGCGGGUCGUUUUUUUGAAUAGAUGCCGGCGUGUCAUCUCUCCGAACCACCUGCCGAUGUUUCUUUCCAAUGUUCAAAAUAUUUUUACCUCACACACAUUCAAGAGCUCCGUUCUCCUUCAACUUCACAUAGGUGGAGAAAGAGCACUUUCAUGUACCUUCUUCCAAGCUGCAUCGUAGCCGGCUAGCCAAGGAACUAGGACAACAGAACCAUGUAACCAGCAAUUCCUGCAUCUCUUGUGUAUUCAUAUGGCAAUUUUAUUUCUAAUUCUAACCAAGGUAAACAGAUAUUUUCACAUUGUAUAUCAUUUAUUUUGAACUAUACACAUGUUUUUACAUUUCACAAUCUUAGACAACAGUUUCUCUGCACACUGAAUCCGGUACACUAAAAAAUUCAAUUAGGAUUCCUUAACUCAUACCAAUCAACAAUGUAAUGGUGUGGGGCUAAAGUUGUCUUGUAGAUAGACGCGUUAGUCAUUGGAGUCGAGGAUUUAUUGCACAGUAGCUGAAGUUGCAUUGUAGUACAGUUUUAAGCCAGUUAAGGAACUUGCUUCACCCUUGCUAAUGUUGCUGCUGGCAAAGGAAGUGUGUCAGGGAAUGGGGGAUGUGGCUGUGUAGGGCUUAGAUGGGUGCUACCAAGACUCUGUGCCCCUAUAGUGUUUCUCACGACAGAGACGGUGAUACUCGCACAGGACGGAAAGGAUGCUGGAGAGGUGGAAUGUUCUCGAUGGCGUCACAUGGUGUGUUCUUACUCCUCUAGUAGAGGAGACUUCCUCAACCUCAGGACCAUCAGGAGGAGAUGGCUUCCUCAACAUGAGUUCUGACUGGCAGUGAUGGAAUGUACAAGCGAGCGCACAUUUCUGGCUCCACGCGUGGCCACUGCCGUUACAACUGACUAACUGUCACGCCUUUGCAGGCCGCCAAAGGUCAUUUUUUUUCUUGCACGUUGCCUACAUUGUGAAACACUUGGACCAUUGUAGUGGAUGACAGGAACAUAUGAAGUCCUAUAAUUUGCGGUGUUCACUCUAGAGGUGUCACCCGAUGAAGUGUGCCGCUUUCACUAUUACGAAUAAUCUUGACUGAUUCGUAGUCCUCAAAGUUGAUAGUUUUACACUGUUGGUGUUCAUGUGGGGCAAACAGGCACCUCAGGCAUCAUUGCUGUUGUUUGACCUCUCUCUUUUAUAGACUUGGGCUGCACAAAUGGAAUCCUGUGGAUCAAACAGAUGGAAUGUUCAGAAUCUGGCUGUCCACUGUUGAGAUAAACCUAGUCACUUCUGAAACGAAGAAGGCCACAAAACGAGAUGAUUUGUCUUUCAA